GAUUUCUGGUUCGGUGUAGCCGGCCCGCCACGGUUGCCGUCGGUGAGUGCCGGACUGCUUGCCGAGCCAUCCUUCUAGUACUGCCUAUCGCCGGUUGCUUCACUGCAUCCGCGUUAGUUGCAGCUAGAUCGUUUACUUUGAAAAAAUUAGAGUGUUUAAAGCAGGCUCCUGUCAGCUAUGAAUACAUUAGCAUGGAAUAAUAAGUUAGGACUUCGGUUCUAUUUUGUUGGUUUCUAGGACUGAAGUAAUGAUUGAUAGGGAUAGUUGGGGGUGCUAGUAUUCAGCGGCCAGAGGUGAAAUUCUCGGAUUCGCUGAAGACUAACUUAUGCGAAAGCAUU
rnacentral:rRNA from 1 species